rnacentral:rRNA from 1 species
GGUUUAGGGGAGAUACCGGGGCUAAAAGGGGGACGGCGGGUUCUUUAAAACCAAAUUUUAAUAUCCCCGGGUUUAACCCGGGGACCCCAUUUUUAGACCCCCGGGCUACAAUAUGGCAAAGGCGGGUUAAAUAUCCCCCGUUACCCAUGAAAACCUAAGAAAAUUGGGGGAAACCCCCUGGGGAAGGCAACCCCCCGGGGCCAAAACUACGGUUCAUGCCCGAAAGCGUGGGGGGCCAAACAGGAUUAAAUAACCUGGUAGUCCCACCCCCUAAACGAAGUCAAAUAGUUGUCGGGUGUUCAUUGACCUGGUAACGUAGCUCACGCGUGAAGUGGACCGCCUGGGGAGUACGGUGCAAAGAUUAAACUCCAAGGGAAUUGCGGGGACCGCACAAGCGGUGGAUGAUGUGGAUAAAUUCGAUGCAACGCGAAAAACCUUACCUACCCUUGACAUGUAUGGAACCCUGCUGAGAGGUGGGGUGCCCGAAAGGGAGCCAUAACACAGGUGCUGCAUGGCUGUCGUCAGCUCGUGUCGUGAGAUGUUGGGUUAAGUCCCGCAACGAGCGCAACCCUUGUCCCUAGUUGGUACGCAAGAGCACUCCAGGGAGACUGCCGGUGACAAACCGGAGGAAGGUGGGGAUGACCUCAAGUCCUCAUGGCCCUUAUGGGUAGGGCUUCACACGUCAUACAAUGGUCGGAACAGAGGGUCGCCAACCCGCGAGGGGGAGCCAAUCCCAGAAAACCGAUCGUAGUCCGGAUCGCACUCUGCAACUCGAGUGCGUGAAGCUGGAAUCGCUAGUAAUCGCGGAUNAGCAUGCCCCCCCGAUCCGUUCUCGGUUCUGUACACACCUCCCGUCACAGCAUGGGAGUGGUUUCACCAGAACUAGGUAGCCAACUAACAAGGAGGNGNNNNCCUAUUGAUUAGCUCCGGCCUCCGCCCCC